rnacentral:misc_RNA from 1 species
AACCUAGCACACCUGCGGUGUGUACCUGCGGAGGGAUCAUUACCGGAUGGCCGCGGGAGCUCCCCCCCAAAGGGGGGCCCCCGAUGGCGACUCCCACAAACCGUGUCCUUUGAGCACCCUCCGUCUUCCCUCCGGUCCCCGGGCCGGAGGCGACACCCUAGAACCCCCUCUUGCAGUGGCAAUUUUCCGUCAGUGACAAAACAAAACAAUCACAACUUUCAACAACGGAUCUCAGAUCGG